GAGAAACGCGGCAACAUAGACAACAAACUCAAGGGCUGCGAAAACAAAAGAAGAGAGGGGUGAACGAAGGUCUUACGGGUGUGGAACGACAUGAGGGUUCAAUCUCCAGGUUUCUCUCCAGCAUCCGCACGGCUUGCGUCUCAACAGAACCUUCACCGUCCUCUACCUCCCCAUCUGUCCUGCUUUCAUCAGCGCACCGGUUCAAGCUGCAGGAGGCACGCAUGUCUUGAGUUUUGCC